GUACGGGAGGCAGCAGUGAGGAAUAUUGGUCAAUGGGCGCAAGCCUGAGCCAGCCAUGCCGCGUGCAGGAUGAAGCAUCUAUGGUGUGUAAACUGCUUUUGUACGGGAAGAAACACUGCUUCGUGAAGCAGCUUGACGGUACCGUAAGAAUAAGGAUCGGCUAACUCCGUGCCAGCAGCCGCGGUAAUACGGAGGAUCCAAGCGUUAUCCGGAAUCAUUGGGUUUAAAGGGUCCGUAGGCGGUUUGGUAAGUCAGUGGUGAAAGCCCAUCGCUCAACGGUGGAACGGCCAUUGAUACUGCCAGACUUGAAUUAUUAGGAAGUAACUAGAAUAUGUAGUGUAGCGGUGAAAUGCUUAGAUAUUACAUGGAAUACCAAUUGCGAAGGCAGGUUACUACUAAUGGAUUGACGCUGAUGGACGAAAGCGUGGGUAGCGAACAGGAUUAGAUACCCUGGUAGU
rnacentral:rRNA from 1 species